rnacentral:rRNA from 1 species
CAGUGGCAGACGGCUGAGUAAUGCGUAGGAAUCUUCCCGAAGCUGGGGCAUAGCCACGAGAAAUCGUGGGUAAUUCCCCAUAGUAUCCACUUUUUGUGGAUUAAAGGGCGUAACUGCUCGGCUACGGAUGAGCCUGCGUCCUAUCAGGUAGUUGGUGGGGUAAUGGCCUACCAAGCCAAUGACGGGUAGCUGGCCUCAUGAGGGUGGUCAGCCAGAGGGGGACUGCGACACGGCCCCCACUCCUACGGGAGGCAGCAAUUAGGAAUAGUCGGCAAUGGGCGAAGGCCUGACCGCGCAAUACCGCGUGUAGGAAGACGCUCGAAAGAGUGUAAACUACUGUGGUAGGGGAAGAAGAUCCGAGUUUACGGAUUUGACGGUACCCUACUAGAAAGAGGCCGCUAACUUCGUGCCAGAAGCGUCGGUAAUACGAGGGCCUCAAGCGUUAUCCGGUGUUACUGGGCGUAAAGAGUCGUGUAGGCGGUUUCGUAAGUUAUCUUUCAAAUAUCUCGGCUCAACCGAGACAAAGGAGAUAAUACUGCAGGACUAGAGUUUUCUCAAGGGAGAAUGGAACUAAGGGAGGAGUAGUGAAAUGCGUUGAUACCCUUAGGAACUCCAGUGGCGAAGGCGAUUCUCUGGGAGGAGACUGACGCUGAGACACGAAAGCUAGGGUAGCGAAGCAGAUUAGAGACCUGCGUAGUCCUAGCCGUAAACG